UACGUAGGGUGCGAGCGUUGUCCGGAAUUAUUGGGCGUAAAGAGCUUGUAGGCGGUUUGUCGCGUCUGCUGUGAAAAUCCGGGGCUCAACCCCGGACUUGCAGUGGGUACGGGCAGACUAGAGUGUGGUAGGGGAGACUGGAAUUCCCGGUGUAGCGGUGAAAUGCGCAGAUAUCAGGAGGAACACCGAUGGCGAAGGCAGGUCUCUGGGCCACUACUGACGCUGAGAAGCGAAAGCAUGGGGAGCGAACAGG
rnacentral:rRNA from 1 species